GAAGCGCUUACAUAAUGACACCCCCCAGGAACACUACGACCAUGGAGGGUGAGAGGGUGAGGCUGACUUGUCAUGCUGAGGGCUGGCCCAAUAACAUCACCUACAGGUGGUACAAAGAUGGCCGUGAUGUCCAACUAGUGGCUGGACUAAUGGCAAGAGCAGGGGUCUAUGCAGAUGGAAGACUAGUGAUCAGUUCUGUGGUGGCUGACGAUACAGGAUGGUAUAAAUGUCGUCCUAGCAAUGGACUAGGAAUUGCUCCAGAAGCCGAGGCCUUCCUCAAUGUCACAUUUUUACCAAAAGUGCUUCCGAUGCCAACACGAAUUUACCUCCCUCUUGGGAUGUCAGCCUCCAUUUCAUGUAAAACUAUCGCUAAUCCUCCUGUUACUCUGAUUGUGUGGACGAGAAAUGAACACGUCAUAGACUUCUCGUCAUCACCCAGAUACAGACUCUCCAAUGAUGGGACUUUAUCGAUAGAUCUAGUCACUAAAAAAGAUAGUGGGAGAUACACAUGUAUGCCAUAUAGCCCACUAGGGGCUGACAAAGGCUCACCUAUUAUACAAGCAGUAGUCAGAGAUCCACCACGAUUUAUAGUACGUCCAGAUCAAAUGUAUCAGCGUCAAAUCAACACAGCUCUUACAAUGCCGUGUAUGGCCACAGGGGACCCCCCUCCCACAGUCACCUGGCGAAAGGCUGAUGGAGCUUUCCCAUCCAGUAGUAAAACUCUCAAAGAUGGCGGAAAUCUCACGAUCGCCUACCUUACGAAGGAGGAUCAUGGUGUAUAUGAAUGCAUCGCUAGUAAUAUGGUCACUACUAUCAUCACAACAACUAUGCUCAUCAUUGAAUACACUACACCUCAUGCGCCACAUAAUCUGAGUGUUGUUACAUCGCAAUUCUCCGCCAGAGUGUCAUGGAUGCCUGCGUACGAUGGAGGUCAUCCCCAGCAUUACGUUUUAUGGUACAGGUAUGUGCAUGGAGAUCCUAGCGAUUGGAUGACGAUGCGAGUUCUCCCUGAUACUGCCACAUCAUUCACUGUCUACAGUCUCUAUCCCAAGUCACAGUACCAAUUCAUGGUACUAGCACGUAACUCCCUUGGAGAUGGCCUAUUCAGUCAAAUAAUAUCAGCAAAAACCAAAGGCUACAUCCCUAAAUUGGAGGGUAAGUUUCCAACAGAUGAAACAGGGAUAACAUAUUAUCCACCUUACAUAGAGCCCAUAGUUCCAAGGCCAAGCCCACCUACCAAUCUGACCGUCCAUAAAGUCAAAGAUGGACUCCACAUCAAAUGGGUCCCACCACAGAACUCCUCUACUCAGGUCCUGUACUAUAGACUGGAGUACAGAGUGAGAGAGAAGGGAGCUACUUGGACGCAAGUCAAUACUCACGUAGGUAGCCAGAUGGCCUCAUUUCUCUGGACCAGUCCACCCAGUGGGAAGGAGCUGGAGUUCCAAGUGAUAUCAUUCAGUCGCUUAUCUUUUAGCGACCCUAGUGUAACUGCUGUAUUUACCACAGAACCUGAGUAUGGUCGUAUGACUAUGUCAACUACUGCCCUGUGGGCCCUGCUAGGUGCUUUAAUAUUCAUCAUUCUCCUCAUUGUGCUUAUAUGUGUCAUAUGUAAACUAUACAAGAGGCGCAAAAGGAAACAGAAAAAAUAUGGCGACAUUAAAUACUUAGGGCCAAAAUCUCUUGAUAACAGUAAUGGAAAAGCAGGUACGAUUAAAGGUGAAAAUCUCUAUGGGAAGGUGACCAAUCAUCAUACUAUGCCAGAGAUCCAGACUCUGGAGGCCGUUACGACAGUAUAGAUGGCAGCAGUACACAGCGGGUAUUCACAAUACAGGACGAACAGACAGACUGGAUGCAUGAUAAAGAUAAUGUAUUGCUAGCAGAGAAGUUAAACUUCACACGAAACAAGAAUAUUUUCAAUAGGAAUUUCCUACAAUACGAUACGGAAAAGUUGCGGAGAGGGAAACGAAAUCCUCAGUAUGAGGUUGCCAUGGAGUAUCAGCAUCCAGUGAGUGUAAUUCAGCGGAGUGCAGAUGGUAGAUUUGUCCUAGAUGACAGAAAUGUUCAGCCACAGUUUAUUGAACGAGGGUACAAUGUAAAUGAUGUCAUAACUGAGCCAGGAGUGCGCUUUCUGGACGUGAGGAGAGAAUAUGAUAACCAAAGUUAUCACCACUACGAGAAUAUUCCUGCUCAACAAGGAUUGGGUUUUUACAGUCACCAAGGGGUGAAUAAACCCCCUCAACCCAGAGUUAAUGGCCCCAUUUCCCAAGAUGAGCCCACCAUGCUUCAACGGUACCAUUCCCCAGGAGCUUCUGGCCGGGGACGCCAUGUAGCAUUUGACACUAGUAAUGGAUAUAGAAAUAACAAUUCACCCUUGGGGCCUAGACAUUAUAGACAGUCAGAGCCUCAUGGGAAGCAACCAUUAUUAGAUCUAACCCCUACUGGGCUACAUUCCAACUUAAACAGUGUCCCCUCAAGGAACAAUGAAACCUUGGAAAUCAGUGAAGCUCAGGGAGAUGAUAGUCAGAUAGUCCUCCUGCCACCCAGAAGUCUUCCCCGACAGAGUACAAUGAAGCCUGGCCUAGAUAGGAGUAUUAGGUCCAUGGACAGGACAUUUAUGACUAGUAGCCCGGACAUUGAGGCUAGUAAUCCAGGGAAUGCAACAAUGUUUGCGCCAGACAGUUUAAGCACUGUGUACCCAUCACAGUCAGGAUCCUCAUCAGAUCAAACCAGACUCUUGUUAUUGCAUAGUGAUGCGUCACAGCUGCCAUCAUCUAUAUCUGUGAACCCCUCUGAUUCCUCGCACCCCUCUCAAGGUAGUUCACAAUCCAGGUUAACUACACAGUCCUCUCACCCCUCUCAAUCUAGUUUGCAACCUAUGUUGCCUAACCAAUCCUCAAACCCCUCUCAGGUCAGUUCACAAUUCAGGUUACCAGCUCAAAUGUCACACCCCUUCCAAAGGAGAGCAUUACCCACAUUGCCACAUCAACCUCAAAAUUCACCGAAUCAUCAGCCAUUACAGUCUACGCAACAACACCAUCAAUAUCUGAGACAACAACAUGAAAUUUCUAAAAAGAAUAGUCUAAAUCAGAGUCUUUCUCCAUAUAUUAAACAGCGUAAUGCACUGGAGGGUCAUAAGGCCCACAACUACAGUGACUCUAGCUCUAGCACCAGUAGUCCACCCAGAGGGUACACAAGAGACAAGCUACAGAGGGUGGUGGAUAAGGUGCGAAGUGGCCCCAGGGUAUUACGCACGAGAGGGAUUUACAGACCUGGUCCCGAUACACCCCAGAGUGAUACAUUCUCCAAUUACCCCACCCCUAGUAGCGGGGGUCGGAUCACUGCUACAUCAGAUAAUACGCUUCAAGAUACAGUCCUUGAGGCAUCCUCCAAUAGGACAUACACCCCAAAUAUGUUUAUGGGUUCUAGUGAGGGUUUAAGGAGGAGACCUGGGGGUAGGUCACAUAGUGCAGAUAGGGCCUCCAGGGUCAGUGACUCCUACACACCCCACAUAAGGUCUAGCAGUGAGGGAAGGACCCAGAGAAAUGUCCCUAAAGAUUUAUAUGAUGGGGGUUAUAGCAUCAAAGGAAGGCCACCCUCAGGCCUAGAAAAACCCAGGAUCUCUCUUAUGUCGCUUUCAGGGUCAAGCGAGAGUGUUAAGAAUGGUGUAUUUAGUCCAGCAAGAACUGCCCCCAGAGGACAUUUGAGGCGUUCCAUUGACCAUUCACCUGAUAGUAGUGGACUUGGUAGUGCGUCAAACUCUCAGAGCACUUCCCAUAAUACAUCUGGCUCACGUAGCGGGUCCUCUCCAGGCCAGGUCACUGCAUCAUUGAGCUCUAGUCUCACCCCGCCUGACCCCAAUAUCAGUAUGGAGUCCUCCCCUUUCUCAUCUGAGCAAAGCCCACAUAAUCACCAUAGGGACAUAUCAGGUGAUGAAAACUAUGAGUUUGACCCUGUAAAUGCUCUUGAGUCUGAACUGAUCGAUGCAUUGCGAUCCUACCAAAGACACCCUGAUGCCGAUCGUGAAUUUGUACAAACAUUGGAACGUAGUGUACUUGAGAGUUCAUUCAAUGCCUCCCCACCCCCUCCUCCUGACCCCCAGGAGGCAGAAAGAUUUGCCAAAUUACGCGAGGAAUACCAAGAGUUUCGAAGGAGCCAACAGGCUCGUAGCAGACAAGAUUACAGAGUGCUGGAGAGUGACACAUUAUAGGUGUCAGAGGACAUGUUUUUGUAAAACGUCCCAUAAACACAGGGACUAUUUAGAUCCCAUCCAUCUAUGAGUUUGAUCCAGGUAUCAUUAGCUUAAUGGGGGACCUAACAAUGUAGUCACUCAUUUAUCUAUGAUUCUGCUCUCAUAUUUCUGGUACUAUGGGGUCUGAAUAGGACCACUGUACAUAGGAUAAUAAGAAAAUUAAAUUGACUUGCCUUUCAAUUUGGCAAUGUAUAUAUUUACCAUGUUCAUUGUUCCUAACCAGAAUGGAAUAUAUACUUUAUACAGUAAAACCUAGUGUUCCCAAUGUAAUUAGAUUUCUGACAUCUAAAAACUCAAUAAUUUUUGAGUUAAUACCAAUUUUAACUGGUCAGUAUCAGUAGAAGGUAACAGCUGUUAUCAUCUCUUUCAAAAUGGUGAAUGGUAAAUGUUGAUUUCGAUAAUAUAAGUUUUCAUCGAAUAAACCAAUUGCCUUGGAGAUUUGGCUUUAACAUUUUGACAACACCAAGCUUGCAAGACAAUCUGCAAGGUGAUAAAUUAAUGAGUUAGGAACUAUUUAUCAGAUUGCA
rnacentral:misc_RNA from 1 species